GAUGAACGCUGGCGGCGUGCUUAACACAUGCAAGUCGAGCGAUGAAGUUUCCUUCGGGAAACGGAUUAGCGGCGGACGGGUGAGUAACACGUGGGUAACCUGCCUCAUAGAGUGGAAUAGCCUUCCGAAAGGAAGAUUAAUACCGCAUAACGUUGAAAGAUGGCAUCAUCAUUCAACCAAAGGAGCAAUCCGCUAUGAGAUGGACCCGCGGCGCAUUAGCUAGUUGGUGGGGUAACGGCCUACCAAGGCGACGAUGCGUAGCCGACCUGAGAGGGUGAUCGGCCACAUUGGGACUGAGACACGGCCCAGACUCCUACGGGAGGCAGCAGUGGGGAAUAUUGCACAAUGGGGGAAACCCUGAUGCAGCAACGCCGCGUGAGUGAUGAAGGUUUUCGGAUCGUAAAGCUCUGUCUUUGGGGAAGAUAAUGACGGUACCCAAGGAGGAAGCCACGGCUAACUACGUGCCAGCCGCCGCAGUAA
rnacentral:rRNA from 1 species